AGGCUCUACGUUCUAAGUACAGAACCGACCGUGGUGCUGCAGGCUGCAGACCUCACAGUCAGAAGAGGAUUUUCACGUCCCCUCUGCAGCCUGGCAGUGUGCCCUGCCCAUCUUGGUCCCUGCUCCUGCUCCGGGGGCCUGGCCUCUGCUGACAUCUCACUCCGCAGGACUGGGGCAUCCCCUGCUCCCACCAUGCCUGGCAGCCGACCCGCUCACUCUGGGCGCCACUUCUUCCCUCAUGCACACCCAGCCAUGAGCCCCAGAAAUCCAAGGCGGAGGGUUUGUUGGCUUUUCAUGGAGAAUCAAGGGAGAGACGGCUGGUACCAGCGUGACCUCAAGGAGCCUCCGCUGCCAGAAAGAGGAGCGUGACCAAGAAACCACAGAAGACUCAGGCAAACGCUUAUUAAAAUGCUUACCUUAUAAGGAGAAGGAGAGAACAGGAGAGAGGAAAAAACUGAGAAGCAAAAACAACCCAGUAGCAAUGUGUGCGCUAACCCCAGACUGUGGCCCCUAAAUAUUAUUUCCUGCUCAAGGAAUCACGAAUUCUUUGAUUCCGAGUCUGAGGAAGGCAAUGCACAGAUGAGCUUGAGGCAUCUCCUGCAGCCUGAAAGCAAGGAAGUCACCAAAGGCCACUGGGUUCUGCGGAAAGAGCCCAAGAGCCGAUGAAGAGCGGCUCCUAUUGGCCAAAGAUGGAAGAAUUUGAGUCAAUAAAUAAUGACUUAAUAAAUUCAAGCAGAACAAAUAUAUAAAAAUAUAUAUCUGUGAGUUUACAAUGGUAAAAAAAAAA